rnacentral:lncRNA from 1 species
GUUUAUCAGCUCUACAUUUCUUUAAUUGCACCAAUUAAAGUGUGCUUUUGUCUUUGAUUAUAUCAGUCUUGUCCAUUUCUAAUCCUUCACACAGGUCAUGGUUUGUGUAUUAAAGAAAAGCUCAUUACAAAAAUCUAUUUAACCACAGAACUGCAAUCUAAAGUCCUGCUGCCGUGCCUUUUUGAACCAGCUCUCUUUGGAUCAGACCUGACCAUGAGUUCGAGUGCUCUGUGGACUCAGAUUAAUAAUGAAACAGUUGACUACAUUUUAGAGAUCAUAGUAAAUGGUCAGAUAAGCUUCUGGAAUAACAGACACAAUAGAAUUAAUGGAUUCGGUGAUGCUGCUGCCUCUGAAAACUUCUCCAUCCUGAUUAGAGAUGUGCGGCUCUCUGAUCUGGGUCUCUACCGCUGUCAACUGUACAGAGACUUCAACUGUUCUCUGGGCUAUAAAGAGAUAGAAAUCAGUCUGGCUGCUGUCGAGUUUUCACUGCUCCGUAACUGGCAGCUCAUAGCUGCAGGAGGAGGAGGAGGAGGAUUUCUGCUGCUCUGUCUGGUCUCUGUGUGUGUUUACUAUACAUGGACAAAACGACAAACAGUCAAUGAAUCAGUCAACCACAGAUCACACAACUGCCAUGAUGUGGAUGGAGACAAAAAUACUGAAAUAACCUAUGCAUCAGUUGUUUUUAAGCCACACAACUGCCAUGACAAUGAAGUUCUUCUAAAUAAUGACGCUGUAAAUGGCUCUGCAUCAGAACUUGUCAGCUCAGAGAAGGUCCUUUAUGCUACUGUCAAGCAAAGAGACAGAAGAUGAGCAAGUGAGCAGCGAAAUAUCCAAAUUAAAACACUCAAGAAAAAACUAAUGAUUCUAGAGAAUUCCCAUCUUGUAUUGUUUGAUUUAUCAGCAAUUGAAUCUAACAGGAGUGGAAAUGCUGUAUAGGCUUAUCUUGCAAAUAAAAAUGACUGUACAAGUGCUCUGAAAAGAUGAACAGUGAGGGCACCAAUCCACCGU